UUUAUCUUCGAUCAAUAAUACUACUAGAUUCGCGAUUAGCGCUUCAAAAACGGCCCGAAAAAUAAGACCACAAAUAAAUUUGUGGUCUUAUUUCAAAUUAGUAUGGUCCAAUCAUAGCCAACACUAAGACGUCAAAACGCUGCAAUGCGCGUUCAAAAACUGAGUAAAAAACCACCGUAACACCAAGGUUUUGGAAGGAAUAUCUUUUUUUGAUUUCCUAGUAGCCCCUUGUCGCUGUGCACAAUGGAUAUAUAUUGUCGCGAAAGAAAGAGAAGAAAUAUAGAACCCUUAUAAAAAUUCUAGAAUUGUUCAAUGGUGGUGGCAAAUCAAUGCAAAAAAGUAUUAAAAAAACUUUAUAUGUAUGUGUAAAUAUUUUAAGCGUAUAUGCUGAAAAGGAUUUGUUUUCUGGGGGAAACGAACACAGCCAUAAAAUAAGCCUAAAUUAAACUGAUUAUAGAAAAAAUCAUUGAUAUAAGAUCACAUUAUAUUUGUAAAAAAGAAACCGCUCAUAUAAAAAUGACUUCUAAGAGACAGCUUUAUAACAAACUGAAUCUGUUUAAAGGUAAUUAAACCUACAUUAUUGUUUUAAUUACUUCUGUAUAAAGAAUACGUGGAAAACAUGUUUCGUGUUUCCUUUCAUAUUUUUUUUACUUUAUUCAAUUUUAUUUUUUAUCACCUAUUUGUUGUAAUAGCGGCAAUGUCAAAUAUUAUCUACUACUUUUUCAAUCGGUCAAAAAUAGUUGCGACCAUACAAAACAAACCUAAAACAAAUAUGUAUAUUCUGCAACUCUAUGUCUUUCAAUACUUACUGUGUUCUGAGCAUUGAAAUGUAAUACCAAGAACUACAUCUAGUUCCACAAUACAAUAAGCACGAAAUUUUAAACAAAUAUUUUUAACCUUAUAAAUUAGGCUUUAAGUAUCAUUUUAGAAUAAAUAUUUUUGUACUGAUGACUUUUUAUGUUCAAGUGACAUUUUAAAUUUAUUCCAUAAUAUUCUUUUUCUGACGAAAGGACCUAAAUACAUAUAUUUUGCAAUGGUAAUUAAACUUUAUGUUUAAGUAUUAAGGUUUAUAAUAAACUGAAGUCGUUAACAUUAUUAAA